AGAUGGAACAGUCGGUCCUGAGAGGAGGACGAGGAGAGAAGACAGAAAUCAGGUUCACCUGCUGCCACGAGCUGCUACAUCCUGCACCUUCUCACAGAAGAAGCUGAUCUUCACGUCCUCCCUCAGCUCGGUGGCUGCAGUCAGGGUCUCUAACUACAUUCUUCUCCAAACUUUGUGAACAGCAGCUUCAGGAGCCUCAGGUUUUUCCAAAUUGAAUUGAAGAUUCACUGCUUCAUACGAGGAGUUCCUGCAGCUGAGGUGGAGACAUGGCGGUCGUCAGAAACCCAGAGACCAUGGCUCCUGUCCUGGGCAGGAGUUCAACCUCGCCAGGGCCUCGACUCCCUGACCUCCAGGAGAAGCUGCACAGCCAGACGGACUCUUUCCUCACCGCGGCUCGGCUCCUCCGCGGAGGAUGGGUGGAGGAGCUGCAGCUUUCCCAUUUAACUCAGCCAGCACGUCAAACCUGUCCCCUCAGGUCCGGUGGAGAUCCCAACCACGUGGAGGUUUGCCUGAAGGACCCCAGGAGAGGACGACUUUGUGGGACGACGGCCGAGGACAGAGAGACAGACUCUGCAGAUGAAGUAAAAAAGACAGAUGAAGUAAAACAGACGGACGGAGGAACAGAGAGAGAUGGACUCAAACAGAAAGCUGGACGGGCGUUCUCAGUCUACAGACAGGCGGAGAGACAGAAAGGCGUUGUGUGUAUCUGGGCGUCUGGAUGUCGCAUCACGUGCAGACGGCCCCGGAGAUUCAAGGCCCCGAUCCUUCCAGUCAUAGCUGAGAUGUAGGCGAGCGCGUUAGAAAACCAGGUUAGAACAGCCUUUAGUCGUGUGCAGCCACGAGGGGAGGACGUUGAAUACUAUGAAAA